rnacentral:rRNA from 1 species
UACGUAGGUGGCAAGCGUUGUCCGGAUUUAUUGGGUUUAAAGGGUGCGUAGGCGGUUCUAUAAGUCAGUGGUGAAAUACGGCAGCUCAACUGUCGAGGUGCCAUUGAUACUGCAGAACUUGAGUACAGACGAGGUAGGCGGAAUUGACGGUGUAGCGGUGAAAUGCGUUGAUAUCGAUAGGAACUCCGGUGGCGAAGGCGGCAUACUGGUCCACUUCUGACGCUGAGGCGCGAAAGCCAGGGGAGCAAACGGG